UUCUUUUACGUUUACUUUUCUGCAUUGGCUAGAGGUAUAGGGGGAGGGUUGAGAUCUCACAAACAUGUUUAACCCCGCCGCAUUAUUGUGCCUGUCCCAAGUCAGGAGCCUCUGGCCUUUGUUAGUCUUGUAUUAUUUUAACUUUUAGUUUCUUGUGUACAAUUUGGAGUUUAGUAUGGUGUUCAUUAUCAUUGAACCAGUAUAUAUUUGUUUAGGGGCCAGCUGAAGGACGCCUCCGGGUGCGAGAAUUUCUCGUUGCAUUGAAGACCUGUUGGUGACCUUCUGCUGUUGUCUGCUCUAUGGUUGGGUUGUUGUCUCUUUGGCACAUUCCCCAUUUCCAUUCUCAAUUUUAUCAUAU
rnacentral:lncRNA from 1 species